UACGUAGGUGGCAAGCGUUAUCCGGAUUUAUUGGGCGUAAAGGGAACGCAGGCGGUCUUUUAAGUCUGAUGUGAAAGCCUUCGGCUUAACCGGAGUAGUGCAUUGGAAACUGGGAGACUUGAGUGCAGAAGAGGAGAGUGGAACUCCAUGUGUAGCGGUGAAAUGCGUAGAUAUAUGGAAGAACACCAGUGGCGAAAGCGGCUCUCUGGUCUGUAACUGACGCUGAGGGUCGAAGGCGUGGGUAGCAAACAGG
rnacentral:rRNA from 1 species